rnacentral:rRNA from 1 species
AUUGAUUUUAUGCUUGCAUAAAUGAUUUUUGGAUUCGGAGCGAGUGGCGAACUGGUGAGUAACACGUGGGUAACCUGCCCCGAAGCGGGGGAUAACAUUUGGAAACAAGUGCUAAUACCGCAUAAUUAGUUGGAACCGCAUGGUUCCAACUUGAAAGAUGGCUCUGCUAUCACUUUGGGAUGGACCCGCGUCGUAUUAGUUAGUUGGUGAGAUAAAAGCCCACCAAGACGAUGAUACGUAGCCGACCUGAGAGGGUAAUCGGCCACAUUGGGACUGAGACACGGCCCAGACUCCUACGGGAGGCAGCAGUAGGGAAUCUUCCACAAUGGACGAAAGUCUGAUGGAGCAACGCCGCGUGAGUGAUGAAGGUUUUCGGAUCGUAAAACUCUGUUGUUAAAGAAGAACAAGUGUUAGAGUAACUGUUAACACUUUGACGGUAUUUAACCAGAAAGCCACGGCUAACUACGUGCCAGCAGCCGCGGUAAUACGUAGGUGGCAAGCGUUGUCCGGAUUUAUUGGGCGUAAAGCGAGCGCAGGCGGUUUUGUAAGUCUGCUGUGAAAGCCCUCAGCUCAACUGAGGAAGUGCAGUGGAAACUACAAAACUUGAGUACAGAAGAGGAAAGUGGAACUCCAUGUGUAGCGGUGAAAUGCGUAGAUAUAUGGAAGAACACCAGUGGCGAAGGCGGCUUUCUGGUCUGUUACUGACGCUGAGGCUCGAAAGCAUGGGUAGUGAACAGGAUUAGAUACCCUGGUAGUCCAUGCCGUAAACGAUGAAUACUAGGUGUUGGAGGGUUUCCGCCCUUCAGUGCCGCAGCUAACGCAUUAAGUAUUCCGCCUGGGGAGUACGACCGCAAGGUUGAAACUCAAAGGAAUUGACGGGGGCCCGCACAAGUGGUGGAGCAUGUGGUUUAAUUCGAUGCUACGCGAAGAACCUUACCAGCUCUUGACAUCUUCUGCCAACCCAAGAGAUUGGGCGUUCCCUUCGGGGACAGAAUGACAGGUGGUGCAUGGUUGUCGUCAGCUCGUGUCGUGAGAUGUUGGGUUAAGUCCCGCAACGAGCGCAACCCUUAUUAUUAGUUGCCAGCAUUUAGUUGGGCACUCUAGUGAGACUGCCGGUGAUAAA